rnacentral:rRNA from 1 species
AGUGAACGCUGGCGGUAGGCCUAACACAUGCAAGUCGAACGGCAGCACAGUAAGAGCUUGCUCUUACGGGUGGCGAGUGGCGGACGGGUGAGGAAUACAUCGGAAUCUACUUUUUCGUGGGGGAUAACGUAGGGAAACUUACGCUAAUACCGCAUACGACCUACGGGUGAAAGCAGGGGAUCUUCGGACCUUGCGCGAUUGAAUGAGCCGAUGUCGGAUUAGCUAGUUGGCGGGGUAAAGGCCCACCAAGGCGACGAUCCGUAGCUGGUCUGAGAGGAUGGUCGGCCACACGGGAACUGGGACACGGUCCAGACUCCUACGGGAGGCAGCAGUGGGGAAUAUUGGACAAUGGGCGCAAGCCUGAUCCAGCCAUACCGCGUGGGUGAAGAAGGCCUUCGGGUUGUAAAGCCCUUUUGUUGGGAAAGAAAAGCAGCAGGUUAAUACCCAGCUGUUCUGACGGUACCCAAAGAAUAAGCACCGGCUAACUUCGUG